rnacentral:rRNA from 1 species
CGGAACACGUACAGAACCUUCCUUCGAGCGGGGAAUAGCCCAGAGAAAUUUGGAUUAAUACCCCAUAGUAUAAUGGAGAGGCAUCUCUUUGUUAUUAAAGAUUUAUCACUUGAAGAUGGCUGUGCGGCUGAUUAGGUAGUUGGCGGGGUAACGGCCCACCAAGGCGACGACGGGUAGCUGGUCUGAGAGGAUGGCCAGCCACAUUGGGACUGAGAGACGGCCCAG